AUGCGUUUCUGGACGGACAAGUGGCUAGAAAACGUCACUCUUCGAGAACAAUAUCCAUCCUUAUACCACAUAGUACGCGAUAAGAAUAAUACUCUUGCGCACGUUCUUAGCUCUUCCCCACUGAAUAUAUCAUUUAGGAGGGAUUUGAUUGGUCUCCGGCUUGUGUCAUGGCAACACCUACUAUCCCGUUUGGAUUUGAUUAACUUGACAUAAGGGCGGGAUGUGUUUCGCUGGAAUCUAACUACAUCGGGGUCUUUCACUGUUGACUCUAUGUAUCGUGCACUAUCGCACUUAAGAUUCCAGUGGACAAUAAUAAACUAA
rnacentral:rRNA from 1 species